ensembl:lncRNA
GUGAGUGUCGUGGUGCUUGUCUGCAGUGUUGUUCAAUUACUGGUGGCCCUAUCAGCAUUCUUUCAGCAUGUAGCCUUGCAGUACUUUGUUUAAGGGAUUGCUGGGUUUGCUCAUGCUGAUGUUUUUCCUAAUGGAUGAAGACUGCUUCCCUGCCAGGCUCCCGCUGGGCUGUUCUCCACAAAUGACAAAAGCAGCCGUCAGAGUUCCCUUCAGCAGGAGCCAUGACCAGAACCCUGCCAGAACAGAACUUGGGAGCAGCUUUUGGUAGAAAGCUGUAUGGUGUCAACUAAGGCGAUGUCCUAAAACUGGUCUCUGGCCCUAACUUUGCUCUGAACUCCUUCAGGAGCUGCAGAGAUGGUCUGUCUGAUGGUCAGGGAGCUGCAGAAGACACCUCUUUGUUGAUACUUUCUGCCACACAAGGAAGGCUUUUUUUUCUUUUUCAAUUUAUUUAUCUAUUUAUUUAUUUACUCUGUGUGUGUGUGUGUGUGUGUGUGUGUGUGUGUGUGUGUGUGUGUGUACGUUUACUACCAGCCAUUUUUGGAAGCUUUUCUGGGUUUUAUAUCUCUGGUUUUCAAGAGGUGUGUACCUAGAAUUGCUCUCCAAAUACGUAGCUCUUUGUCAGUCUGCGUUACCUGUUGCUUGCAUAGCUCCCAGGGCCUGAACAAUUUGUCUGCUUUAGAGGCACAUCUUUCUUUAGCACUUCUAUUUCUGUUAGUACCACUUCUGUCUUUGGAAGUGUAUAACAGAGUCACUUCACUGACCUAUAGCACCAUCAGUUGCAAGGGAACCGGAAAGCGGGUUUCUUGUUCUCAGAAAGGAACAGUUGGGGCUUGUAGCUUAUGAGCCAGCCUUUACGUUGCUGGAGUCUUUGUUUUCUUUUCUUACCUGCUGAGGGAGAAGUUGAGUAAACCAGGACCUUGUUGUUUCAAGGUUUAAGGGCAUGUUCCAGUCAAGGAAUUGGGUUAACAUAGUUGUCCUUCUCAAUCAGAUGUCAGAGGAUAGUGAAAUGAAAGUCCCCGUUCAGUGUAUUUAGGGAUAGAGAAACAAGUCUCAAGUGAAAAAUGCAGAACCUUAACUAUUUCUUGGUUUCAUCUCUGUCAACACUGAGAAAAGGCUAUUGUAUGUGGCUGCUGCAGGCCACAGGCUAACUGACAGUAAGUCAGUCGCAAGUAUUCGCAGUAUAUAAUGAAACCCACGGAUCUGCUUGCACAGUUCUGUGUUGUGAAAGUAGCAUGGCUAAAUGGAUGAUGGAAAACUUUUUACAGUUGGUUUCCCCACUGACUCAUUGAAGUCAGGGCUUUGGAUAAUGUACGCGCUGCAGCCUAGCUCUGAGCAGGGCAUCACAUUGCUUCACAACCCCGGAUACAGAAAAGCAUCUCCUGGAAUUAACUUGUGCUGUCUUUUGCUUGUAGUUGUAGGAAUCUUUUGAAUCCUGCAAAAGUUUGGAUGAAACCUGUGGCAGUCACUGCAAGACCGCUCUGCUUUAAGAGAAUUGUGUGCUCCAGAAGAGCUGGAAGCUGAAAACAGCACUUCACCAGCCCAGGAAAGGGAGAAAAGGCAUUUCAUACACCGCUAUAGGCUGGUAAACAAAAGUCACUGGAAACUCACAGCCAUGGCAGACACUUUAAAAACAAGGUCAGUUGAACUUUCUAAAUAGUCUUCUUUAUGUCAAACAGAGAAGAUCUGUAGUGUUCUGUUGUCACACCAUAUUUUUGCUCUGUUCCCUAUUUCUGGUGUCUGUUAACGUGGUACAGUAGCAAAACAGUGCAGCAGAUCCCAAUUACUGCAAGUGCAGAUUAGGUGUAUUUCAGAUUUAGAUUCUUGCUGUGAUUUAUAAUUCAGUAGUAAACUUGACUGAAAGUAUCUAAAGGUUACACCUGUCUAUAGACUGGGGGGG